rnacentral:rRNA from 1 species
GACGAACGCUGGCGGCGUGCUUAACACAUGCAAGUCGAACGGAAAGGCCCUGCUUUUGUGGGGUGCUCGAGUGGCGAACGGGUGAGUAACACGUGAGUAACCUGCCCUUGACUUUGGGAUAACUUCAGGAAACUGGGGCUAAUACCGGAUAGGAGCUCCUGCUGCAUGGUGGGGGUUGGAAAGUUUCGGCGGUUGGGGAUGGACUCGCGGCUUAUCAGCUUGUUGGGGGGGUAGUGGCUUACCAAGGCUUUGACGGGUAGCCGGCCUGAGAGGGUGACCGGCCACAUUGGGACUGAGAUACGGCCCAGACUCCUACGGGAGGCAGCAGUGGGGAAUAUUGCACAAUGGGCGGAAGCCUGAUGCAGCAACGCCGCGUGCGGGAUGACGGCCUUCGGGUUGUAAACCGCUUUCGCCUGUGACGAAGCGUGAGUGACGGUAAUGGGUAAAGAAGCACCGGCUAACUACGU